GGCACAAUGGCUUAGUGGUUAGCAUGUUUGCCUCACACCUCCAGGGUUGCUGGUUCAAUUCCAGGCUCUGCCC